GCUAGCUAGUCAGGUGACUGGAAGAGGGCAGGCCGGAACUAUAAAAACCCUAGGCUUAGUGGUAGUUGGGCCCAGCAGCCAAGGGGGAAGGAGUGUGUGUAUAAGAGCUCCACAGAGAGGCUUGGUGAGCUGUCCAGCUGCUGUGGGAGGGGAACUACUGAAGACUCUCAGGGAAGCGGUGGCAGCCCCAGAAGGACUGUAACAGAUGGUGGGAAGCAGAAGUCCAGAGCCCAGGAAAAAUCCAUGGACGUGUGUCUGAACCUCAGACCCCAGCUCACAAUGGAGUGGAAGCACGUGCAGGAAUACUGCCACAGGAAGUGAUGCUCCAGAGACCGCAUGAUGGACACUUUGGUGAGACAGCACAAACCCGAAUGGCCGCUGCAAAUGACUGGCAGAACAAAUUCUGGGAGGUGCUUAGGGUGGAUGAUGACUGAGUGGGAGAAUAGAAGCAUGGACAACACCAUAGAAUUUAUGAAACAGCUCCUAGACUGCACAGGCCAGUUUCUUGACCUGGCCACACAGUGCCGUGUAUAUCUGCAGGAGACACGCUCUUUGAUUAAGGACCAUGUCCUUCAGCCUGUGAACAAGCAUACCAUUCAUAAGUGCUGCCUCCUCCCCCCCUCCCCCCCCCCCCCCCCCCGAAAGUGUACAGUAGCUCCACUUGGCUUGCCUGUGUCCAGGAGGUAGCCAGGAGUAUUACAGUUGAGCCUGUUCACCAUCUGCAUUGCAGCCAACUGAGGGGUGGCCCAAUGCCUCCACUGCAGCCAGGAGAUCACCACUGCAGUUCAGGGAGCAAGAGAUGGGUCAGACAGGGGUUGCAUGGGUAGGAAAGAAAGCUAGUAAUGAAUUCCACUGCAGGUUACUGCUGCAGAUUUCUUCAAUGUGCAGCAACACAUGUAUAGAAAAGAAAGCCAACUGAUAGGAGAGGGGUUCCUAUUAGCUCUUAUGUCAGUAAUUUCUUGGUUUCCAUUAGUUAUGUGUGUGUUCCUUAGUAAGUUCUCAGGUGGAAUAAAACAGCAUUUCCCCCUG